rnacentral:lncRNA from 1 species
CCGCGAAUUCCGUGAAUGUGUGAGUAAUAGAAGCGUACAGAGGAACGGAAGGAGAUGUGAAAGAAACCCUAGUUUUUGGGCGAGGGACGUGCAAUCGGAAGCAAAAUGCAGAAAAAAUUUAUCACUGUUUUACUGCUUUGUUCGAUUCUCUGGUUAAUCUCACUCUUCACCAAUGAUUCUUAGCAAAAAUCCAAGGCCACGAAUUUCAGCGUCGGAAUGUCAACAAGUUCAGCAGAGAUCUCCUUCAAAUCUACUCAGGAAAGAUGAAGGUGCUCGAUCAUCUUGCAGGUUGAUGAUUCAUGACAUUCCAAAUUUAUGUGGGCUUAAA